AUUGCUCCUAACCUGAUUCUGUUUGUGUUGUAUAGUUAUACCUACAUCAGAGAAGUAAGCUUGAGAUAUGCAGAUCCACAUAUUUUUUGUUGUCUUAUUUAUAUUUUUUUACUCAUGUCAGGCUGAACCCGAGUUUCAGCUUGUUGAACGAGGUCCAGUAUCAGAUGAUUUUCUUGCAAUUGGAGCAGCUUUAGCAGAUUUGCUGUUAAAAUUCUUCUUCUGAAAAAAAUCAAAACCGGAAACAAAUUCGAAUGAAUGAAGAAUCAAUAAAAUUCAACCAAUAA